UUUGAGUAUAUGAGGGAAGAAAGGAAAGAAAGAAGAAAGAGAGAGUAGGAGCAUGGGAAAGAAGGGAGAAAGGAAGGAAGGAAGAAGAAAGGAGCGGAAGGGAAGGUGUAGGAACGAAGGAAAGGAAGGAAGAAAGGACAGAAGAAAAGGGAAGGGAGGAAAGAAAGCAAAUGAAGAAGAGAAAGGGAAGGAAGGAAAAAAGGAAGGAAGGAAGGAAGGAAAGAAAAGGCAGUAUGGAACUACAGAUUUAGUGAUUUGAGUAUAUGAGGGAAGAAAGGUAGGAAAGAAAGAAGAAAGAGAGAGUAGGAGCAUGGGAAAGAAGGGAGAAAGGAAGGAAGGAAGGAAGGAAGAAGAAAGGAGCGGAAGGGAAGGUGUAGGAACGAAGGAAAGGAAGGAAGAAAGGACAGAAGAAAAGGGAAGGGAGGAAAGAAAGCAAAUGAAGAAGAGAAA